rfam:Marmoricola scoriae strain DSM 22127 genome assembly, chromosome: I
AGGUGGCCCGGACGUCGGGCCACCUCCACCUCUACCCCGGUACCUGACACGGCCGGGGAGG